rnacentral:rRNA from 1 species
GUAGGGUGCGAGCGUUAAUCGGAAUUACUGGGCGUAAAGCGUGCGCAGGCGGUUGGGUAAGUCAGAUGUGAAAUCCCCGGGCUCAACCUGGGAACUGCAUUUGAGACUGCCCAGCUGGAGUUUGGCAGAGGGGGGUGGAAUUCCACGUGUAGCAGUGAAAUGCGUAGAGAUGUGGAGGAACACCGAUGGCGAAGGCAGCCCCCUGGGCCAAUACUGACGCUCAUGCACGAAAGCGUGGGGAGCAAAC